rnacentral:tRNA from 1 species
GGGAUUGUGGCUUAGUGGUAGAGUACUUGCCUUGCAUACAUGAAGCUCUGGGUUCAGUUCCUCAGUACCA